UGGGGAAUAUUGCACAAUGGGCGCAAGCCUGAUGCAGCCAUGCCGCGUGUGUGAAGAAGGCCUUCGGGUUGUAAAGCACUUUCAGCGAGGAGGAAGGUGGUGAGCUUAAUACGCUCAUCAAUUGACGUUACUCGCAGAAGAAGCACCGGCUAACUCCGUGCCAGCAGCCGCGGUAAUACGGAGGGUGCAAGCGUUAAUCGGAAUUACUGGGCGUAAAGCGCACGCAGGCGGUUUGUUAAGUCAGAUGUGAAAUCCCCGGGCUCAACCUGGGAACUGCAUUUGAAACUGGCAAGCUAGAGUCUCGUAGAGGGGGGUAGAAUUCCAGGUGUAGCGGUGAAAUGCGUAGAGACCUGGAGGAAUACCGGUGGCGAAGGCGGCCCCCUGGACGAAGACUGACGCUCAGGUGCGAAAGCGUGGGGAGCAAAACAGGAUUAGAUACCCUGGUAGUCCACGCUGUAAACGAUGUCGAUUUUGGAGGUUGUGCCCCUUGAGGCGUGGCUUCCGGAGCUAACGCGUUAAAUCGACCGCCUGGGGAGUACGGCCGCAAGGUUAAAACUCAAAUGAAUUG
rnacentral:rRNA from 1 species